AUGCCAGUCCCCCAUUUUCCGGUUUCACUGGGCUUUCCCUUCACUGGGGGGGCUUCUGAGACACCCACUCAUCUCUGCAGCCUCUUUUACUGCUCGUUACCCCUCCCUGCGGCAGGGGGCUGCCCCCGGAAGGCUGGUGAAGCUGGGCCGCUGGGGCCCCGGGGCCUGCACGUUUGUGGCCUUCGCUGUAUUUACCUUUUGCGGAGGCAGAUCCUCAUGGUAAUUCAGUAUCGAACUGUUCAAUAUGAUAUCCUUCCCUUAUCUCCUUUGUCUGGGAAUCGACUAGCCCAGGUGAAGAGGAAGAUCCUGGUGCUGGAUCUGGAUGAAAUCCUUAUUCACUCGCACCAGGAUGGGGUUCUGAGGCCUACAGUGAGACCUGGAACACCUCCCGAUUUCAUCCUCAAGGUGGUAAUAGACAAACAUCCUAUCUGUUGUUUUGUUUUUGUUUUGUUUUGUUUUGUUUUUACAUAAGAGACUCCAUGUUGAUUUCUUCUUAGAAGUGGUAAACCAGUGGUAUGAGCUUGUGGUGUUCACAGCAAACAUGGAAAUUCAUGGCUCUGUUGUGGCAGAUAAACUGGACAAUAGCAGAAGCAUUCUUAAGAGGAGAUACUACAGACAGCACUGCACUUUGGAGUUGGGCAGCUACAUCAAAGACUUCUCUGUGGUCCAUAGUGGCCUUUCCAGCAUCGUGAUCCUGAAUAACUCCCCUGGGGCUUACAGGAGUCACCCAGACAAUGCCAUCCCCAUCAAAUCCUGGUUCAGUGACUCCAGUGACACAGCCCUUCUCAACCUUCUCCCAAUGCUGGAUGCCCUGAGGUACACUGCUGAUUUCCAAUCGGUGCUGAGCCGAAACCUUCACCAACAUAGGCUCUGGUGA